AGAGUUUGAUCAUGGCUCAGGACGAACGCUGGCGGCAUGCCUAAUACAUGCGAGUCGAACGAGCUGACGGAGUGCUUGCACUCCCGACGCGAGUGGCGGACGGGUGAGUAACACGUGGGAAACCUACCUGUAAGUAGGGGAUAACAUUCGGAAACGGAUGCUAAUACCCUAUAGGUUUCAGUUCCGCAUGGAACUGAAAGGAAAGACGGCUCUGCUGUCGCUUACAGAUGGUCCCGCGGCGCAUUAGCUAGUUGGUGGGAUAAAAGCUCACCAAGGCUGUGAUGCGUAGCCGACCUGAGAGGGUAACCGGCCACACUGGGACUGAGACACGGCCCAGACUCCUACGGGAGGCAGCAGUAGGGAAUCUUCCGCAAUGGACGAAAGUCUGACGGAGCAAUGCCGCGUGAAUGAAGAAGGUCUUCGGAUCGUAAAAUUCUGUUGUUAGAGAAGAACAAGGAGUAACUAACUACUACUCCCUUGACGGUAUCUAACCAGAAAGCCACGGCUAACUACGUGCCAGCAGCCGCGGUAAUACGUAGGUGGCAAGCGUUGUCCGGAUUUAUUGGGCGUAAAGGGAGCGCAGGCGGUGACUUAAGUCUGAUGUGAAAGCCCACGGCUCAACCGUGGAAGGUCAUUGGAAACUGGGUCACUUGAAUAUAGAAGAGGAAAGUGGAAUUCCAUGUGUAGCGGUGAAAUGCGUAGAUAUAUGGAGGAACACCAGUGGCGAAGGCGACUUUCUGGUCUGUUAUUGACGCUGAGGCUCGAAAGCAUGGGUAGCAAACAGGAUUAGAUACCCUGGUAGUCC
rnacentral:rRNA from 1 species